rnacentral:rRNA from 1 species
CGUGGGAACCUUCCCAGUGGUACGGAAUAGCUCAGGGAAACUUGAGGUAAUACCGUAUACGCCCCUCGGGGGAAAGAUUUAUCGCCAUUGGAUGGGCCCGCGUCGGAUUAGCUAGUUGGUGGGGUAAUGGCCUACCAAGGCGACGAUCCGUAGCUGGUCUGAGAGGAUGAUCAGCCACACUGGGACUGAGACACGGCCCAGACUCCUACGGGAGGCAGCAGUAGGGAAUAUUGGACAAUGGGCGAAAGCCUGAUCCAGCCAUGCCGCGUGAGUGACGAAGGCCUUCGGGUUGUAAAGCUCUUUUGGCGGGGACGAUAAUGACGGUACCCGCAGAAUAAGCUCCGGCUAACUUCGUGCCAGCAGCCGCGGUAAUACGAAGGGAGCUAGCGUUGUUCGGAAUCACUGGGCGUAAAGCGCACGUAGGCGGAUGUGUCAGUCAGGGGUGAAAUCCCGGAGCUCAACUUCGGAACUGCCCUUGAUACAGCACAUCUGGAGUCCGGAAGAGGUGGGUGGAAUUCCUAGUGUAGAGGUGAAAUUCGUAGAUAUUAGGAAGAACACCGGUGGCGAAGGCGGCCCACUGGUCCGGUACUGACGC